rnacentral:misc_RNA from 1 species
UCUCCGUUGGUGAACCAGCGGAGGGAUCAUUACAGGACUCGCAAGACUCCUUACACCCUGUGAACCUUACUGUAUACGCGUUGCUUCGGCGGGUCCGCCCGCCGGCAGCAUACCACAUUCUGUCUCUCUGCGUUGGCAUCUCGAGAAAAAAGCAAAUAAGUUAAAACUUUCAACAACGGAUCUCUUGGUUCUG